GAUGAACGCUGGCGGCGUGCUUAACACAUGCAAGUCGAACGGUGAACACGGAGCUUGCUCUGUGGGAUCAGUGGCGAACGGGUGAGUAACACGUGAGCAACCUGCCCCUGACUCUGGGAUAAGCGCUGGAAACAGCGUCUAAUACUGGAUACGAGUAGCGGCCGCAUGGUCAGUUACUGGAAAGAUUUUUUGGUUGGGGAUGGGCUCGCGGCCUAUCAGCUUGUUGGUGAGGUAAUGGCGCACCAAGGCGUCGACGGGUAGCCGGCCUGAGUGGGUGACCGGCCCAACUGGGACCGGGACACGGACCAGACACCUACGGGAGGCAGCAGUGGGGAAUAUUGCACAAUGGGCGAAGGCCUGAUGCAGCAACGCCGCGUGAGGGAUGACGGCCUUCGGGUUGUAAACCUCUUUUAGCAGGGAAGAAGCGAAAGUGACGGUACCUGCAGAAAAAGCGCCGGCUAACUACGUGCCAGCCGCCGCCGUAA
rnacentral:rRNA from 1 species